rnacentral:miRNA from 1 species
UCCGGCCGGUUACAGGAAACAGAAACUCCGCGCGGAACAGGAGUUUCUGUUUCCUGUAACCGGCCGAA